rnacentral:rRNA from 1 species
GCCCUGCCGUAAACUUAGAUAUUUAAAUACAACAAAUAUCCGCCCGGGAACUACGAGCGCCAGCUUAAAACCCAAAGGACUUGGCGGUGCUUCAGACCCCCCUAGAGGAGCCUGUUCUAGAACCGAUAACCCCCGUUCAACCUCACUACUCCUUGCUUUUCCCGCCUAUAUACCGCCGUCGCCAGCUUACCCUGUGAAGGCAUCGCAGUAAGCAAAAUGGGCAAUGCCCAAAACGUCAGGUCGAGGUGUAGCGUACGAAGUAGGAAGAAAUGGGCUACAUUAUCUGAAGCAGAUUAUUCACGGAAAGUCAUCUGAAACAAUGACUCGAAGGUGGAUUUAGCAGUAAGGAGGGAAUAGAGCGCCCCCCUGAAGCCGGCUCUGAAGCGCGCACACACCGCCCGUCACUCUCCCCAACAACACCCACAUCUGAUAACUAACAAAACAGCAGCUACAAGGGGAGGCAAGUCGUAACAUGGUAAGUGUACCGGAAGGUGCACUUGGAAUAAC